CAAGCUGAGCGGAAACGCAGGUAUCGGCCAUUUCCGCGAGCCAGGCCCGCGCCUGCACCCGCGCGUGCAAAGUCGCAACCUUAGGUCUCCUCUUCCGGUCCCGUCGGCUCGCAUUCCCCCCGCUCUCCGCCGCUCUCUCCUUGGUGCGACGCGUUUGGAUCUCUUCGUCCCUGCUGCGUCUGCCCUUCGCCGCCGCAUCUCCUAGCCGGUGCCAAGGAAAACGAAGAACAAGAGAUCAGCUAGCGAGGAAGAAAAACAAGAGAGACAAGCUAGUUUUGUUUUGUAUUUGUGCUGUUGGAAUCAAUAGAUCAGCUAGUUAGAGCAGAUAUAUAGACAGUAAUAAAGUGCCUUCGGAGCUUGUUAUUCUGUGUAUAUGCAAAAUAUAGGACCUCAUAAAUGCUGAUAAUGGAAUACACAUAGAAGUACAUGGAUUUUCA